CCCGCUGAACUUAAGCAUAUCAAUAAGCGGAGGAAAAGAAACUAACAAGGAUUCCCUUAGUAACUGUGAGUGAAGUGGGAAAAGCUCAAAUUUAGAAUCUGGCAGUCACUUGGCUGUCCGAGUUGUAAUCUAGAGAAGUGUUGCCCGUGCUGGACCAUGUACAAGUCUCCUGGAAUGGAGCAUCACAGAGGGUGAGAAUCCUGUCUUUGACAUGGACUGCCAGUGCUUUUGUGGUACGCUCUCAAAGAGUCGAGUUGUUUGGGAAUGCAGCUCAAAAUGGGUGGUAAAUGCCAUCUAAAGCUAAAUAUUGGCGAGAGACCGAUAGCGAACAAGUACCGUGAGGGAAAGAUGAAAAGAACUUUGGAAAGAGAGUUAAACAGUACGUGAAAUUGUUGAAAGGGAAACGCUUGAAGUCAGUCGCGUCGACCGAGACUCAGCCUUGCUUCGGCUUGGUGUACUUCUCGGCUUGACGGGUCAGCGUCAAUUUUGUCCCUCGGAUAAUGGCGAGAGAAAGGUGGCACCUUUGCGGGUGUGUUAUAGUCUCUUGUCGCAUGCGAGGGCCAGGAUUGAGGAACUCAGCACGCGCCUCUCGGCGUCGGGGCUUCGGCUCACGCUACGUGCUUAGGAUGCUGGCGUAAUGGCUUUAAACGACCCGUCUUGAAACACGG
rnacentral:rRNA from 1 species